GCUAUUAUUACGGCGCAUGCUUGAACAUCUGACGAUCAUCGAUCGAUCGUUAACGAGAAAAUCAGUGAUGUAAUAUAUCGUUCAUUUCUGUUGACUAAUUUCCUUUCUUUAUUAGGCCAUUGACAUCUAUCUCCAGCCUACCUUCAUCCUUUUUGUAAUAGGAUUAUGAAAAAUUUACCCAAUGAACAUGUUGUUGGAGAUAUUGUCCAAGUGGCCACGAUACUUCAACCAUGGACCAGCAGCUGAGAUGUGAUCCGUGGUACAUUUUCCUUUGACUUUGAUUAAGAUAGUCAUGUCAGUAAGAUCUUUGCCGUCCCAUUUGUCGAAUGGUUCUAAUAACUGUAAUCGUUCGCUGGUCGGGCUUACGUCGACCU